AAUGCAGUGAUGAGAAAGCUAACAUGUAAGUAGAAACUCAACUUUGUGUUGAAUUUCUUCAAUGAAAUAUUUUUGUUACGCUUGGCUUCUGAGUAUU